rnacentral:lncRNA from 1 species
GCUGUUUCUAAGAGAUCAGAAGCCACCAGAACUGGAACAGGAACUACGCCCUGGGAGACGAAGACACUGAAGUACAGUAUACUGGCUGGCGGGGGGCACAUUUUCUGUUACACUAUAAUCUUCAGCUAGGAAGUUAAGAGAACUAGCUAGACCAAAUGACAGACAUCUGUACAAAGCAUCAGACUCAAAGCCAGAGACAUCUAUAUUUUCAGAGUUGGAGAUCAGUAUUACCCACUUUCAAGCUAAUUUCAUAAUACUAAAUAUGCAUUGCAUCCCUGCCAGUGAAUGUUGCAGUAAUUCAAUAAAGUGUCUCUCCAUUAUAAAAACCCAC